CUGAAGGGGUGGACCUUGACUCCACCUCCUCUAAGACCUCAUUUAAGGGCUGACCACCACUGAGGCAGCAUCUCUUGGAGAUUGCUCCCCAGUGGAGACUGCCUCAGCUUUCCAGUCAAGGCAUUGACAUUGGUGAGUUUUCCUUUGCUAAUAACCUUUGAUUAUCUACCAUCAUCUUUAUAAACAUCCGUAUAUUAGCCACCCUUGCUCUAUACCCCUGCUCUCAUUCUUUGAACAGCCACCUGUUCUGAUCUCUGUCUGUGCCUCUUUGCUGUGUUUCACCUUUUGAUAACAGAGGGCAACUUUUGUGAGGAGGGGAAACAAAAAGUGAAUUUUGGUGUGGGUUCCAAAUACUUUGUGCUUCUGCAUCCUAAAAUUCAAGCUGACAUUACCAGACGUGUGGCUGUACCAUAGCCAGUCUAACUCCCAAGCAACAUGUGCAGCUGUACGGGGUUCUCUCCAAGCCUCCCUGAGAGCCCAGCUUGUCUUGAGAAGUGCAUAACAACAAUUCAGACAGAUGAUUUUGCUUGAGGAUGAGUCUCUAUGCAGUGCUCAGGCUUUGCUAACCUUUCCUGAAAGGAGCCACAGGUUUCCUGUUGGGUUGUAACAGUGAGGCUUGUGAAGGGUGAUCCAUUGCAGAAGGUCUUUAUGAGGCUGAGUGACUUGACAAUAAAAUGACAGAUUAAAUCCA
rnacentral:lncRNA from 1 species